AAAUUGCUACUGGGAAUGUGCUUGUGUUUACACAGUCAGCGAAGAAUCUAAUUCUUAUUUGGAAUGAUUUGAUAUAAUUGACUAUUUUACUAUAACAGGCUAGUUUCUUAUUUGGAAUGAUUUGAUAUAAUUGACUAUUUUACUAUAACAGGCUAGUAUAUGCCAUUAUAUUAGUAGGGGAUGACUAAAAUACAUUUUUAUUAUAUAUUAAUAUGACUGAAGACUGAGGGUGUUCAUUUGAAUGUGUUCUAUAAUAAAGUGUUGGGUCUGCCCUAAAGGGGUGCAUCACCUUCAAGUUAAAUUCAAGUCCCCGUUGCGCAAAGGGUGACGGGCGUGCGCAAAGGGUGACGGGCGUGCGCAAAGCGGGACUGCGCAGGCGUGCGCAAACUAGCUCGGGCAGAACUGGGUCAGCACGCUUUGAUGUCAGAAUGUGGCACCCGCUUAACCGUGUGCACAAACUAGGAAGUGUGCGCAAGCGGGGACUGCGCAGAUGCAACCGUGCGCAAACGAGGGCCUGACUGCGCAAACGAGCGCAGACAGAACUGUGUCAGCACGCUUUAACAUCAAAGAGAGGCACCUGCUUAAGCUUUUUAAGUGAUAGUCUGCUUAUGAGGUACGUGCCUUGCUCCCCCCAAGCUUUGUGCCCUAGGCACGUGCAUCUUCUGCCUACCCCUAGUUCAGAUCUUGUACUUGGCUGUUAUUGCGAUGAGAGCGUAGGAUAAAUACAUGUGACUCCUGAUCAAUACAUGGCUAACACAAAAUAAAAUGUAUUAUUCAAAUUAGAGGGGCCCCUUACAGAAAUGUAAGUAACAAAGUAAGCUCUUGUGCUAAUUACUCCACCAUUUUCAAAUUUCUUAUUCCACCACCACUGUGCCUUUUACAUUCUACAUACUGCUCUCUUCUCCUGUUUUGUCCCCACCCUCCUCCCUUUCCUCAGUAGAACUGUAUUUGAUGGCUUCACGUCACCUUUAGUAGUAAAGACCUUGUGCGGACAUUUUGGUUAUGGGCAUUUCCAGUCUCUUGCUGGCUGUAAUUUCCUGUUCCUUUCUACUUCAUCAUUUCCUGUUCCUGGAAAGCUGAAAGCAUGGUGCCAGCAUGGUCUGUCUGCCAUGUUAGAGAUAAGUGCACGUGGAGUUCCUGUGCUGUCUGCUCUGCUUCAUGUUCAGGAAAUAUGUCACAUUGCACAGAGCCAGUACUACCCUAGCAGUCUAUCAGAGCAGUGACAAAGUGUCGGAUUACUGGACACAGACUGACAUGCAACAGAGCUGCAGUGCAAUCUACUGGGCACACAAUGGCUGCAAAAGGAAGCAGGAUUUUGCCUCUGCACAGUUACUGUGUUAUCUCGCAGAGGUGAUAGUCAGAUUUACAUGGGACAUUUGGAAAUGUUCCUGAGUGUUGUCUCUGGCAGUGAUAUCCAAAAUUGCCUUGGGCAGAAAUGUUCCUGAGUGUUGUCUCUGGCAGCGAUAUCCAAAAUUGCCUUGGGCAGAAAUGGUAUGUGAAACAACAUACAUAUUUUCUCUGUGACCUAUCUGGCAAUGAAAUCCAGAUUUGCUGUUGUAUUCGGAAAUGGUCAUUCAUUCUACUGCAACGCUGAACUGCAUGGAUAAGCUUAUUGUGGCAACCCACUUGAAAAUGUUGCUUUUGAGGUUCCCAAGUGAGCCUUUUGGCGUCGAUAUUUAGAUUUGCUUUGAAUAUUUUGAAAUGGGUGUUCAUUUAACUGAUAACCUAGUGGCAACUCCUUUGAGACCAUUGUUAUUAAGUUCCUGAAUGUUGUCUCUGGCAGGGAUAUCCAAAAUUGCCUUGGGCAUAAAUGUUCCUGAGUGUUGUCUCUGGCAGUGAUGUCCAAAACUGCCUUGGGCAGAAAUGGAGGUAUGCCCUGCAAGAGGAAAAAGCUGCUACAAAGAUUUUGAAAACUUUGCCAUUCUUUGCACCAGUGCCGGGCCAACAGGUGAGGAAGUCCACGGCAAGGGGUCAUCAGCCCGUUUCACUGCACCCUCCACGUGUCCCCCACCAGGCAUUCCCCAGUAGAAAGAAACAAAAUAGAACAUAGGCACACUCCACAUACUGCUUCUGCAAAAAAAUUUUUGAAAAAAGCUUCUUUUAUUUGUGAGAUCCCAGCAAACGUUUCGGGGACAUGCCCCUUCAUCCAGUAGAAAGGCAGAAGUGGUAUGUGUCAAGGUUCCUAGCACCCCUUACCAUCGUGCCCUAGACAUGUGCCUCUUGUGCCUUCCCCUGGCCUUGCUUCUUGCCUUAUUCUGGAUUAUCUGAUAUGGACUGUUCUUACAAAUAAUGAGACAAGACCCCUAGUUGAGGGAAAGAUUAUCAACCCUUUUGUGGCCCUGAAGUAUUUCUAUAGCAGUCAGCCAGCAUUCGGCCAGAUUUCAAGACAGGCCCUUUGAUGGGCCCCAUACAAGCGUUGCUUAAUCAGAACGUUAAAUUUACCUGUGAAUAGCUACUUUUUAGUCCCGUGUCACUGAUUUUGAAGACCAGUAUCCCAAAUCCUUUGUAUCAUGUCAGAUUAUUUUGCUGCUGUAGUAAUGCACCUGCACUUUUUUUUAUUAAAAUAAAUUUGUUUUAAAAA